UCUGGCUUAUAGCCAAGCGGUCGUUCUAGAGUGCCCAACUUAAUGAUGGUAACUAGAACCGAGGGUUGCGCUCGUUGCGGGACUUAACCCAACAUCUCACAACACGAGCUGACGACAGCCAUGCAGCACCUGUCACCGCGUCCCCGAAGGGAACCCCUACUUUCAUAGGGUAGCGCGGGAUGUCAAGCCUAGGUAAGGUUUUUCGCGUAGCAUCGAAUUAAACCACAUGUUCCACCGCUUGUGCGGGCCCCCGUCAAUUCCUUUGAGUUUUAAUCUUGCGACCGUACUUCCCAGGCGGGAUACUUAACGCGUUAGCUACGUCACCGAGACAAUUAGGAAUCCCGACGACUAGUAUCCAUCGUUUAGGGCGUGGACUAC
rnacentral:misc_RNA from 1 species